AGUGAACGCUGGCGGUAGGCCUAACACAUGCAAGUCGAACGGCAGCACAGUAAGAGCUUGCUCUUACGGGUGGCGAGUGGCGGACGGGUGAGGAAUACAUCGGAAUCUACUUUUUCGUGGGGGAUAACGUAGGGAAACUUACGCUAAUACCGCAUACGACCUACGGGUGAAAGCAGGGGAUCUUCGGACCUUGCGCGAUUGAAUGAGCCGAUGUCGGAUUAGCUAGUUGGCGGGGUAAAGGCCCACCAAGGCGACGAUCCGUAGCUGGUCUGAGAGGAUGAUCAGCCACACUGGAACUGAGACACGGUCCAGACUCCUACGGGAGGCAGCAGUGGGGAAUAUUGGACAAGGGGCGCAAGCCUGAUCCAGCCAUACCGCGUGGGUGAAGAAGGUCUUCGGGUUGUAAAGCCCUUUUGUUGGGAAAGAAAAGCAGCAGGUUAAUACCCCGCUGUUCUGACGGUACCCAAAGAAUAAGCACCGGCUAACUUCGUG
rnacentral:rRNA from 1 species